GACGAACGCUGGCGGCGUGCUUAACACAUGCAAGUCGAACGAUGAAGCUGGAGCUUGCUCCGGUGGAUUAGUGGCGAACGGGUGAGUAACACGUGAGCAAUCUGCCCUUGACUCUGGGAUAACUGCGGGAAACUGUAGCUAAUACCGGAUACGAGGCUCGAAGGCAUCUUCGGGUCUGGAAAGAAUUUGGGUCAAGGAUGGGCUCGCGGCCUAUCAGCUUGUUGGUGGGGUAAUGGGUCACCAAGGCGACGACGGGUAGCCGGCCUGAGGGGGUGACCGGCCACACUGGGACUGAGACACGGCCCAGACGCCUACGGGAGGCAGCAGUGGGGAAUAUUGCACAAGGGGCGAAAGCCUGAUGCAGCAACGCCGCGUGAGGGAUGAAGGCCUUCGGGUUGUAAACCUCUUUUAGCAGGGAAGAAGCGAAAGUGACGGUACCUGCAGAAAAAGCACCGGCUAACUACGUGCCAGCAGCAGCCGCCG
rnacentral:rRNA from 1 species